rnacentral:rRNA from 1 species
AGUGAACGCUGGCGGUAGGCCUAACACAUGCCAGUCGAACGGCAGCACAGUAAGAGCUUGCUCUUACGGGUGGCGAGUAGCGGACGGGUGAGGAAUACAUCGGAAUCUACUUUUUCGUGGGGGAUAACGUAGGGAAACUUACGCUAAUACCGCAUACGACCUACGGGUGAAAGCAGGGGAUCUUCGGACCUUGCGCGAUUGAAUGAGCCGAUGUCGGAUUAGCUAGUUGGCGGGGUAAAGGCCCACCAAGGCGACGAUCCGUAGCUGGUCUGAGAGGAUGAUCAGCCACACUGGAACUGAGACACGGUCCAGACUCCUACGGGAGGCAGCAGUGGGGAAUAUUGGACAAUGGGCGCAAGCCUGAUCCAGCCAUACCGCGUGGGUGAAGAAGGCCUUCGGGUUGUAAAGCCCUUUUGUUGGGAAAGAAAAGCAGCAGGUUAAUACCCCGCUGUUCUGACGGUACCCAAAGAAUAAGCACCGGCUAACUUCGUG